AUACGUAGGUGACAAGCGUUAUCCGGAUUUACUGGGCGUAAAGGGCGUGUAGGCGGUCUUGCAAGUCAGAAGUGAAAUUCCUGAGCUCAACUCGGGCGCUGCUUCUGAAACUGCAGGACUUGAGUGCUGGAGGGGAUAGCGGAAUUCCUAGUGUAGCGGUGAAAUGCGCAGAUAUCAGGAGGAACACCGGUGGCGAAGGCGGGUCUCUGGGCAGUAACUGACGCUGAGGAGCGAAAGCAUGGGUAGCGAACAGGAUUAGAUACCCUGGUAGUCCAUGCCGUAAACGAUGAAUACUAGGUGUAGGGGGUAUCGACACCCUCUGUGCCGCAGUCAACACAAUAAGCAUUCCGCCUGGGGAGUACGGCCGCAAGGUUGAAACUCAAAUGAAUUGACGGGG
rnacentral:rRNA from 1 species